rnacentral:lncRNA from 1 species
CAUACUGAUCCACAAGUAGGAAGCAGAAAACAAAUGGAAAAGUGUGGGCUUUUGAAACUUCAAAGUCCACCCCCAGUGACACACCUCCUUCAACAAGACCACAUCUCAUAAUCCUUCCCAAACAGUUCCACCAACUAGAGACUAAGCAUUCAAUCACAUAAGGCUGUGGAAACAAUUCUCCUGAAGAAGAAAACCAACAUAAGCUAACUUAAUAAGUUUCAUUUAUUAUAUAGUUGGUUGGUUGUCAUUACUGUUUUCAACAGUCUUGCUUUAAAGCCCUGACUGGCCUGUAACUCACUAUAUAGCCCAUGAUGACCUAAGUCUUCACUUGCAGCUAUUGUGCCCUUCCUCUACCUCUCAAGUAUUAAGAUUACCAGCCUGUGCCACCAUGCUCAGGUGUGAUUUAAGUUUAAUAAGAACACUUGGGACUGUAUAAUUGAAAGAGACCACAAACUGGUUGUGAUGAUUUGAGUGAAAAAAAUGUUUCCCAUGGUUUAUAGUAAUAAAUUGGUUCCCAAUUGGUGGUGCUGUUUGUGGAGGUUUAGGUGGUACAGUAUCGCUAAAGGACAUAUGUUGUGAGAUUUGAAACUAAAAGUGUUAUGCUGCUUCCAGUUCAUUCUUUCUGCUUCCCAUUUGCUGUUGAGGAUUUGAGCUCUCAGCUUUCUGCUCCUAUCACUAUGUUUUCCCAAUAUGAUGGACUCUCAUCCCUCAGGAACCAUAAGCUAUAAUAAAUUCUUUUCUUCCAUCAGUUGUUUUUGGUCAUAGUGUUUUUAUCACAGUGUCUUAGUGCUAUAUUGCUGUGAAGAAACACUAUAUCCAUGGAAACUCCUAUAAAAUAAAGCAUUUGAUUGGAGUUUCUUUAUACUUCUAGAGGCUUAGUCCAUUAUGAUCACGGUGGGGAAAAGGUGGCAUACAGGCAGACACGGUGCUAGAGAGUUAGCUGACAGUUCUACAUCCAGAUCUACAGGCAAUAGGAAGAAAGUGAUAUUGGACCUUGUUUGAGCUUUUGAAACCUCAAGACCCACACCCAGUGACACACUUCUUCCAAAAGGGCCAUAUCUACUCAGAAAAAUCCUUCCCUGAUGACUAAGCAUUCAAAUAUACAAGCCAAUGGGGCCAUUUUUAUUCAAACCAACACACAGCAACAAAAACAGUAACUAAUGCAUUGGCUUCAAGUGUUAUUUAUUUAAAUAACUUAUGGCACCUGUACUGGCUGGUUUUGUGUGUCAACUUGACACAGACUGGAGUUAUCACAG